rnacentral:rRNA from 1 species
GUGGAGCCUGCGGCUUAAUUUGACUCAACACGGGAAACCUCACCAGGCCCGGACACCAGAAGGAUUGACAGAUUAAGAGCUCUUUCUCGAUUUGGUGGGUGGUGGUGCAUGGCCGUUCUUAGUUGGUGGAGUGAUUUGUCUGGUUAAUUCCGGUAACGAACGAGACUCUGGCCUACUAAAUAGUCGACGGGCGUUUUGGUGCAUGGGCCCCGUUCGACACAGUCUUCUUAGAGGGAUGAGCAGCGAGUAUAGCUGCAGGAGAUUGAGCAAUAACAGGUCUGUGAUGCCCUUAGAUGUCCUGGGCCGCACGCGCGCUACACUGAAUGGGUUAGCGGGUUGCCCUUCUCCGAGAGGAGUGGGAAAUCGCGUGAAAACCAUUCGUGAUAGGGAUUGGGGCUUGCAAUUGUUUCCCAUGAACGAGGAAUUCCCAGUAAGCGCAAGUCAUCAGCUUGCGUUGAUUAAGUCCCUGCCCUUUGUACACACCGCCCGUCGCUACUACCGAUUGAAUGAUUUAGUGAGGCCUUCGGACUGGCGGUCUUGGACUGGGGCGCCGGAUUUCUCCCAGCGAUGGGGUGCCGGCGACUCGCCUGGACGGGCCGGAAAGAUGUCCAAACUUGAUCAUUUAGAGGAAGUAAAAGUCGUAACAAGGUUUCC